rnacentral:lncRNA from 1 species
AGCGGCCCAGACCCUCCUCUCCCUCCACGGCCGACAGGUGUGAAGCUCCUCCCCCUCCGUCCUCCACCGAUCAAAUCCCUCCCCGGGCGCCCUCCUCCCCCCAGCGUCACCUCGAACCCUCCGCCAUCUUUGAACAAAAGCCCGUCGUCCCCGUCGCUGCUGAGUGAGGCGUCUGUACCGAACAAUCACAGUCAGAGGGCGCUGAAGAAAGGGCCGCCGCUGCCUCCUCGGCCAAACCGGGACAUCCGCUUUACAACAGCAGCGAGAAACAGGAAGUCCUCAUCGUCCUGGAUGACCCGAGUCCCGCCCCCUCGGAGCACAACAGCCAAUCAGACGACAGCUCUGGCCCUGUCCCUAUCGCUCUUCAGUCCCUGCUGGAUUUGGACUUGAACCUGGGACCGAAUCUGGACCAGGAUCAGCACCAGACUAAAACGGCGCUAGAGGAACUCACUGAGACUCUGAAUAUUCUACCAGUGGAGUCCGUUGAGCAGAAGAAAGAGCCAGAGCCUGCGACAGUGAGUGGUCCGAGGUGUGUGGCGUUGUGCGACUUCGAGGCGGCGCUGGACGACGAGCUCGCCUUCUCUCGCGGCGAUGUCAUCUCUCUAAUGGAGCUGAUUGGUGGAGACGGACACUGGGGGCGGGCCAGCUGCACGGACGAAUGGGAAUCUUCCCCAUGAACUUCACCCAGACGCUGGAGCC